AGCGAACGCUGGCGGCAGGCCUAACACAUGCCAGUCGAACGAACCCUUCGGGGUUAGUGGCGGACGGGUGAGUAACACGUGGGAACGUGCCUUUAGGUUCGGAAUAACUCAGGGAAACUUGUGCUAAUACCGAAUGUGCCCUUCGGGGGAAAGAUUUAUCGCCUUUAGAGCGGCCCGCGUCUGAUUAGCUAGUUGGUGAGGUAAUGGCUCACCAAGGCUACGAUCAGUAGCUGGUCUGAGAGGAUGACCAGCCACAUUGGGACUGAGACACGGCCCAAACUCCUACGGGAGGCAGCAGUGGGGAAUUUUGCGCAAUGGGCGAAAGCCUGACGCAGCCAUGCCGCGUGGAUGAUGAAGGUCUUAGGAUUGUAAAAUCCUUUCACCGGUGAAGAUAAUGACUGUAGCCGGAGAAGAAGCCCCGGCUAACUUCGUGCCAGCCGCCGCCGUAAGAC
rnacentral:rRNA from 1 species